rnacentral:rRNA from 1 species
AUGGACAGGCUCAACGCCAAGCUGUACAUGCAGAACUGCUACAUCCUCAAGGAGAACGAACGGCUGCGCAAGAAGGCCCAGCUGCUGAACCAGGAGAACCAGGCCCUGCUCACCGAGCUCAAGCACCGCCUCGCCAAGACCGCGGCCGGCAAGCCCAUCGGCAACGCCGCUGCUGGCGCUCGUGCGCCCCUCCCUGACCUCAACGCGGCUCCACCGGCACACGCCGUCCACGACAAGGCGACGCCCAAGUCCAAGAAGACUGUCGCAAACUGA